GGCGGCUUAAUUUACUGCCUAUAAACACCCAUCCGAUCCACCACCGUAAGUAAGAAACCCUAGUUUAAUUUGAGUAUUUGGCUUCAUCUCUGUCUCGAUCAUUAACCGAGGAUUUGUGUUGAUCUGCCUGUGUGGCUCGAUUCAUGAAUUUAAACUACCAAUUUGAAGUAAUCCGAUGGGGAGGAAGAGCGCCUCUGCAGUUGAAUCAUAUAAUAAGGAGGGGUUUGCGAUGGAUGAUGAUGUGGCGUUUAAUGAUGUUGCUGGAGAAGAAGGGGAUAAUGUCUUUGCAGAGGAGGGAGAGGAUGAUGCUCCUGCAAUUAAAUUUGAUGGGAAAAAAAAAGAGUGGAUAUAACAGUGGUUUUGUUGCUUCAGCUUUUGGGUUGCUAGGAGAAGAUGAUGUUGAUGUUGAAAGUAAGGAUAAAGAUGAUGAGGAUUCUGCAUUUGGAUUGCUUGAUGCGCGGCCGGCGAUAAUGAUGAAGAUGAUGUUGGUAUUAGUUUUACUGGUUAAAAAGAAGAAGUCGUCAAAGGGGUCGAAGAAGACAUCAUUCGGUUCCACAUUGCUCGAAGAAGAAAGCAAUGCACCAUCUGAUAUUGUUGAAUGUGGUGGUGAUUGUAAGGAUAUUGUUGAAGAAGAAAGCAAUGCACCAUCAUUCGGCUUCUUACUGGGAAGCCUGCGCGGAGGCCUCUUUACCAGAAGAAAAAAUCCAAGCUCCAAAAACACUCUAAUGGGGAUAACACAGAUGCAAAAGAGAUCCAAGAAGAUGUUGUGUUGGAGUUGGCUUCUGUUGUAGCAGAGAAUGUUGAGGUAACUGAUGUUGUCGAUGACAAUGGAGGAGGAGGAGGAAAAAGUGUAUUUGCUGAUGAAGAAGUUGAUUCAGAAUCUGAGCCCUUGCCUAAGAAGGAUAUACCGAUGAGAAAGUGAUGCUACCAAAAUUGGAGAAUGCGGAUGUUCAAAACAACUCAGUGGCAGAGAAGAAGAAAACAGAAGUUGUUGAUGAUCAGCCUGUUCGAAAUGGACAAAACCUUCGGUCUCCUAUAUGUUGCAUUAUGGGCCAUGUCGAUGCUGGAAAGACGAAGUUGCUUGAUUGUAUUUGAGGUACACACGUCCAAGAAGGCGAGGCGGCGGGUGGGUUAUCUUGGGAGUUGAUGUUGUUGAAGGCAUUGUUAAGAUUGGAACACCUAUAUGUAGGGCAGGUAAACCGAACCGACAACACGGUUAACCGAGCAUAAAAGUAACCGAGAUUGAAACACCAGAAUCGAAACCGAAUUGGCCUGGUUUGGUUCGGUUCCGGUUAACCGAACCAGAACCGAAUUUUAAAAAAAAUUAUGCAGUUCAUAGCCUAUUUCUCACUGUGCCCCAACAGCACCCUCCGCUUCUCCUCCGUAUCAAGCUCGUACAGCACCGAUUUCGUCUCCGGCACGUAGCCCUGCUCCAUCUCCUCCGACACCUUCACCACCAAAGCAUGGACCAGCUCGAUUUGAGGAUUCACCUCGUCCACACACCUAAUCGAGUACACCCUUUUCUUCGCUUCAAUCCAGCAGCAUCCCGGUACCUUCUGCAGCCCCUUCUCUUCCAACACCUUCUUCACUCUCUUCACCUCGUCCCACAUCUUCGCCUCCGCGUAUAUCUCAGCAAGAAGCGCGUAGUUCCCUGCAUUCGUGGGCUCGAGCUCAACAGCAUCCUGCUCGCCCUCUCUGCAAGCUCCACGUUGCAAUGAAUCAUGCACGAUCCGAGGAGAGCGCCCCACACCAUCGCCCCUGGCUCAUCUCGCAUAUCGGCUAUGAUCCGAGCCGCUUCCUUUAGUCUAUUAGCUCUGCCAAGAAGAUCCACAAUGCAAGCCCGUGAACUGCAUAGCUUGAAAUCAUGGAAUUCCAAGAAACAACAUCCCUCUUAUCCAUCUGCAAUUAAAUGAGUAAUUCGGUUCCGAACCGAUAACCGAGUAGACGCCUUUAUUUUGUCGGUAAUCGGUUAACCAAGAAAUGUGAUAUUCAGUUCGGUCAUCGGUUAGUCGGUUAACCUCUAAAAGAGGAUUUCUCGAAAUUGGUCGGGUAGCAUCUAUUAAAAGUAAUGAUAAUCCUGUUGAUUAUGCCAGGAAAGGGCAAAAGGUGGCCAUUAAGGUAUGAGAUAUUGAAAUUGUAGUGUCAUUUUGUGGUGCUCUUGUAGUGUGUUAAGAAUGGUGUUUGCAGAUAAUUGGCAGCAACCAGAAAAUGUUAGGGAGACAUUUUGAGGAGGAACACUUGCUUAAAAGCAAGAUCUCAAGACAUUCACAUGAUGUACUUAAAGCUUACUACAAGGUUUGUACAUCUGAUAUUACUCCUUACUAGAUUUUUGUUAAGAGCGCUGCUCCUAACGUUGAUUAACACGCGAUCAAGGAACACGGCCGGGAAUUAUCUGGCGCCCAGGAGGUCUGGGUCGUCGGCGAUUUCCGGCGAGAGGCUCGUCGUCAGCGGUAGGGUUUGCGUUUCUUGUUGCUCAAGCCUUGGGCCGAAAGAAUAUGAUAUAUUGAUUAAUGAAUAUUCGAAAACAUGGCCCUAUUUAUACUAAGACCCUAGGGUUGAUUCGACCUAACCUAGACGUCCGGGAAAGAAUCAACGAAGAAAACCCGAACGGGGCUUAUAGCACGCCCGACGCGAUUACAAUAAUUCAAUUAAUAAAGCUUAACUAACUAGCUAUGAAAAAGGAAACAAACUAAAAUAAGAAAUAACAAAACAGAAUAAGAACUAACAAAACAGAGCAUCUUCUACUUAAUUACGUCGCUACUUGGCGACGUAAUUCGCCAGCUUCUGCGGGGGUUUAAUUCGAUCCCUUGGCCUCAACGAUCUUGUCUCCACAUUCCCCUCGGUCCUCUUCUGCUGCAUUCGCUUCCUGGUCUUCGUGGCUAUCGCCGGUACUUCUACAGCUGGUUCCUCGUCUUGCAUUCUCGAGUGAUCCGUAUCAAUUUUUUACGACGCCCCAUCAACACUGAUUUCCUCACUCCUUUCCACUGACGUGCAGGAUGAACUGUCUACUGAAGAUGUGAGAUUACUUAAGGUUUUGAAGAAAGAGUUCGAGAUACCAUGAUUUUAAUCUAAUGGAGUUCGAUAUUACACAAUUGCGCAUUCUAUUGUUGAAAUGAGUUUCCAUUGAUUUCACCACACCAUUGUUCUCUUCAAGUAUACAUUUUGCAUGGAUUGGAAUUCAAUCAUAAUGAGUUUACUACACAGGGUAAUAUGAGAGUGGUUAGAUCUUCAAAAGGAAUUUUUCAAAAAAUUUGUUGCUAGUCACG